CAGCUCGCCAUGGAGCAGAGGCCCAGGACGCUGCCCAUGGUCCCCGGUGGGCGCGGGCUCCUCCAAGAUGGAAGCGGCGACCGCGGAUCCCGACGCGCUUGUUUACUGCUCCCAGCGGCGCUUCCGGCCGCUCUGACGGCACGGUCACGUCACUUCCGGCCUCCUGCCGGGAAGGAAUGUGGCGGGGCUGUGCGGGGCCGGGCCGGGCCGGGCCCUGCCAGCCUGAGGGACAGCGAAGGAGAGCUGGGCAGGAGAACGGGCAGCAGCCGCAGCCAAGCGCAUCCGGCAGCUAAAGCUUAAAGCUUGCUCCUUGUAAGCUGUCUGAAAGUUUAAGGCUGCAAUUAUCUGGUGAUAAAAAGUGUGAAAAAUUAAUAAAAUGGUUAUAGCUAUUUGUUUGAAAGGUAAGUACACAGAAUUAGUGGAUGGUGAAAAAUUUUGGAGUACCUUUAGUUCGGCCAGUAGAGCCACAACAGUAAUUCUUAAUAUUCACUUUUGUUUGUGUGCUAAUUAGAGCCAGUGAAGUGUGCUGUGUUCAUCUUCCACAUAACUCCACCACAGUUGCCAGAAGGUUUUGGAGGCGCAUGAUCAGCUCACAGCUAACAUUGCAGCUUGCUUCUUGAGAUGAAUGCAUAAUCUCCAUUCCCUCUCCUUUGUGAAACCCUGAAUCUUCUUCAAAGGGAGCUUCUUACUAAAACCUGCUUUUUUGUUAGCUCUUUAUUGGAAAAUUGUAAUUUUUCCAAACUAGAGACCACCUGUCAGUUUCAUGGUCUGCACAGCCAACUGUGAUCAGCUCCUUCAGUGAGCACCUGAUCUGCAGAGAGCACAGAGCCGCCUUAUGGAGGAUCCCAAAACUGGCCACACAAGCUUUAACCUCCAGCAGAAAAGCCGAGGUAACCAUUUUGUCUCUUGAGUCCCUGUCCCCCGACCCUGAGAGGAAGGGUGAGCUAGACAGGACAAGAUUCUCUACUAAACAGGCUUAUGCUUUAGGCAAGGCAACACACGGACAAAUAGAACACGUAAGGGAAUAAAAAUGCAGAUAAAACGUGACUGUACUGGGGCCCCGCUCAUCUUUGUGCUACUCUUGCCGAACUCAUAUUAAGUAUCAGCAUAACAUUUGGAGGAAGCAA